ensembl:lncRNA
GUGGGGGCGGAAGAGGAAGGGAGGCUGGGUGCUGGCGGGGCCCUUGCGGCAGAGGCACUCAUGGGAGGCCCCGCAUCCCGAGCUCAUCCAGCCAGGCCAGGCUCGAGCACAGCGUCCCGGCAAGGGCGGGGCAGCCUGCGGGGAGCCGCGGCCACGGCCUCGCCAGCCGCCAGCCCGCGUCUUGAUGUAAAGACGCUCCGCUUCCCGACGUGUUUGUGCGUCUGUCUUAUCACGAGUCUUUCAACAGACUGAUGGACGAGGCUGCUCUAAAUGUCAUAGUGUUUAUUUAAAUGCUGAGGUUAAAAAACAUUUCCAAACGGCUUAGCAGGUGCUAUAAGGAACACGUUCUGGGCUACAAGUUUCUCGGGCCCCACUGUGGGCUGCGGUGCUGGUAUCUGAGGUACUUUGGCCAUUCUUUGGCAGGAAAGACUCAGCGCCCAUCCCUAAGGCCACGGAAGUGAGGGGCAGUAAAGUGCAUUCCGAUUUCCAGCCUCUGACCUGAGGCCUGGUGUCCCCAAGCCCAGGGAAGCGUCUCUGGGUAACAUGCAGGAGGCCCUAAGGAAGCUGUCUUUCUGGCUUUGCCCUGUCAGAGAUGCUUCCUGGAAUCUAACGAUCUGCUUUACUAAGAAAAGUGCUUCUGAUGGAGAGGGGAACCCUUGGCAGAACAAAGACAAGAGACAGACGCCUCUCGAUGGCCCUUGUUCUCAGCACUGCGGACGGCUUCUCCCUGCUCCCCAACCCCGAACCAAGAACGGCUUCUUGGCUAAACGGCUCUAGGUGGAUUUUAAAAAUGAAACACCUAUAAAAUUCUAUUGGCGAGCGCCCAGUCAAUUGGCGAUCCCACCCUUCCGGAGUAUUUCCUUCUGUCUGGCUGGAAUGGCCUCGCCACUGACGGGUUUCAGAAACACCAUUCCUGCACUUCUGAGUAUGUGACGCGGCUCUGCACCGCUACUGCCCGAACCCCGUGAGGCUUCCGCGCUGGAUUCUGCCUGCUUCCCGCGUCCACCUGGAGUCUAGGGCCCCAGGCUGGGUGCUCUGCGGGAACCAGGCUGCCUUGGUGGUGGACAUGUCGGGCUGGUUGCUGUGUUUCCGGGCGAGGCCUGCGAGGGGCGGGUAGUGACCUGGAGCCUGAGGUCACCUGCUUGUGACUUCCGGUGUAGUGUCUAGCUGGGGCGAUGGCUGUCAGCAGUGAUUCAAUUGUCAUUUGCAUUUCUAAAAAAUGACCUAAACUCCAAACCUUAGUACAGCUGAGAACUGUUUAGAGUGAGAAUAAAGCUAUGUGUAAAAUCCAGCCUUAAACAGGCCAAGCGGUCUUGAGCUACACAGUGCACUGCAGAUUGGAUCUGAGCAGAAAGCUAGUGGCAUGUAAGUGUCCACUCAGCACAAGAAAUGUGCAUGCCGAGGCCAGGAGGAAGUGACGGUGGAAGUGCCCCAGGUGGCCCUGGGCACCCGGUGGGCUGGGGUCUGGGCUGGACCUGGCCUGGACUCCUGACGAGGAGUCACGGCUCUGGGGGGACAGGGAGGUCAGGGAGACCCUCAGCCAGCCCGGCGGGGCUCUGUCCUCACCCCUGGCCACAGCGGGCUGCUGUGUCUGUCAUACACUCUGCACAGCUGCGGACGUACCAGGGGCUGGAGUGCAGGGGGCCGGCCUCGCCGGGGACAGGGACCAUUAAGCCAGAGCUCCUUGUGGGGCGGGGAGCAGGAAAGGAGCCCAGGGGAGGGAAGGCCGUCUGCUUCCUGUCAGGGAAGGAAGUGGGCACACGGGGUGGGGCACUGGCAGGGGGAGUGGGCACAAGGAUAAAUUAUGAUCUGUUUCCUCUGCUAUUUUGGUUCCUAAGUCACCAAAGACUUGCUCAGAAGACCCAGUUUUUCAGAGUGGCUCCUGCCUGGCACUGCUCCCUGGUACACAGGUGAACCUCGAGCUCCCCCCCGCCCCAGGAGGCCCUGGCUCGGCAGGCUUGGGUCCCGCUGAGCUCCGGGAGGAGCAAGCGCUUCACCUAAGGACAGUCACCUCAGCAAAGGGCCAUGAGGAGUGUGGCUCAGCGGCUCCUCCGAACCGAUGAGCUCUGGUGCAGCCCCGAACUUAAGGGACAGCGUGUGACAGGAGGAGGAGGCUGGCAGGGUGGUGGGAGGCCCGCCCGGCCCUGCACCCUGGUCCUGUGGGCCCGUCCUGGGGACAUGCAGGGUGUGCCCAGGGCACCUGGCUGGGGUCACCAGGGAGCCUGCUGGGGCGAGGCUGGCAUGGGAACUUGUCUGCAGGAGAGGUGGGAGCUCCGGAGGGCGCCUCGGGUGUGAGCACAGCUGGUCUCCCUCAGGGCAAUGUCACGGAGCACUCAGGAGCCGGGGGGCUGAGCGGGACAUUCGGGGCUGCAGGGCUGGGGCAGGAGGCCUCGCCUUGCUUCUUUCUCUGGUGCUUCGUGUGACGGGGAGGAAGAGUAGUGUUUCCUGUGGUGAGGUGACACUGGCAGCCCAGGUGGCCGGCGCUAGGGGAAGUCACUGCCGUCGUAGAUCACAGGCCGGUCAACCGUCAAGUGGUAAAACACUUUCUUGGAGAUGAACC